rnacentral:rRNA from 1 species
CGGCACCGUUGUAUUAAUACAUAGGAAUCUGCCUUAUAUUUUGGGAUAACUACUCGAAAGAGUGGCUAAUACCGGAUGUGGACUACGGUUUAAAGCAGGGGAUCUUCGGACCUUGCGCUAUAAGAUGAGCCUAUGCAAGAUUACCUAGUUGGUGAGGUAAAGGCUCACCAAGGCGACGAUCUUUAGCUGGUCUGAGAGGAUGAUCAGCCACACUGGGGACUGAGACACGGCCCAACUCCUACUGGAGGCAGCAGUGGGGGAAUAUUGGACAAUGGGCGGAAGCCUGAUCCAACAAUACCGGCGUGUGUGAAGAAGGCCUUCGGGUUGUAAAGCACUUUUGUCAGGAGAAUGGUAGUAGAGGUUAUACCCUUUGCUAUUGAUGUUACCUGAAGAAUAAGCACGGGCUAACUCCGUGCCAGCAGCCGCGGUAAUACGGGGGGUGCAAAGCGUUAAUCGGAAUUACUGGGGCGUAAAGGGGCGCGUAGGUGGG